GGGGGGAACUGUGCCUCCCUUUGUGGGCUCUUUCCGGAACAUCAUGUGCCUGGCAAAUACACAUAUUUUUGUCAACAGGCAACUGCCUAAGCAAAUACCGGAUGAAAUAGAGCCCCCCCGGAUCUUGGGGGAUGCAAACAACCGCCAAAGGUGCUAAUAAAGCCCCAUUCCUCCUCCCCACGGAGUAAAACCACAGAUAAAUAAGGAUAUUGACAGUGGCAGAGAGACAUAAAAGAUUCUGGCGGAGGGUAAAUAGAAAAUGUUUUCAAAUUAGGAAAAUCUGCGUGGAGGAAAAAGCAAUUCAAAUAAACAUAUUAGUAGGGCGGGGAGGCGAGGAAAAAACUUGGAUGUGGGCAGCCUUUGAAGUGUCCUCUGUGGCAGUGGCACUGGC